UGCUAAUUCUUGAGUACAUCUGGAGUCACAAAUUGGAAUAUCAAAAGAAGGAAGAAAAUGGCUGAUUCUCACCUCUGGGGAACAAUACUUUGUAAUACAGUAAUCACUGCAUUCAUGUGAUCUGAGAAGGACUUGACAAAUCUGCCAGGUUUUUUUAAUCCAAAAAAAAAAUCCAAAUACUCCUGGAUUUAAAAUAGUGUUAGUCUCAAAUAUCAGCAGUGCCACAAUUCUACAUGGCAUUCAUAGCCUGUAGCCUUUGUUUUUAGGACAUUGAGACAAGUAACAUUUCUUUGAGGUUUGAACAAUAUUAAUCAUGAGAGUGGAUGCUAAGAGCUAUGUUCCAUGGAACCAGCACUGGGUGCCAGAUCCUGACAGAGCUGCCCAUGUGUUCUUUAAUGUGUGUGUGUGUGUGUGUGUGUGUGUGUGUGUGUGUGUGUGUGUGUUUUACUGGGCAGGGACAUCUAACGCAAGUCCUAGGUACUGUAAUGGCCAUGGGGCUCUUGCCAGAGAGUGUUCCCUGGUCACACAUUGCCAGUGGUAACCAGAGCUGACAAUGUGCCCAGUGCUUAUAAACUUCCUGUACUUUGGAUCUGUGGAACCAUCUACCCUCUCUAACCCUGAAACAAUCUAGUCAACAAGGGAGAGCAGCCAAGAGGGCAAUACCAAACCUAGCAGGUAGCCGGUACCCACCUCCCCCAACUGGAAAAGGCAGCCAAGUUCAACCAAGCAAGGUUCUCUGUGUCCCUAUUUCUGAAGGGGGAAAUCAAGGAAUUGAUGAUCCUGUGGGCAUUAACAAGUUGUAUCUGGGGCCCUGCAGCUGAGAAUGUGGUGGGGGAAGGGAUGAGCAAAUUUAAAGCAAUCUGUCUCAGAACCCUAGCACCAAUGGUUACACAGACUUAGCGAAAUUUAGCUGUUGAAUGAUUGGGGCAAGAUCCAGUGCAACUGCUCCGUACCCCAUAAAAGGUUAUGGAUAGAGGAUAACUGUACCUUGUAAUAUACACCAGAUGUGUGCCAAAUUGGAUCCAACCAAAUACCAUAAUUAGGUUAGCAGCUGCAUCAUAAAUGGACAUUUUCAAAUAUUUGCUUGACAAUGAGGGAUACAAAGAGGAUUCAAAAUGGGCCUCACCACCCUGAAGAGAGGCAAUACGUGAACCAGUAAUUAUACCUGUGGUAGCUGUAGUUGGUACUGACACCUGCCCAAGGUUUAGCUGGCAGGCAGGGAAUUAAGGUUGAUUGCGUUUUCUUCACUAUAUAGCAACGGCAGAUAAUGAUGGAUACUUAAGAGGUCAUGGUGUGUAUUACCUACAAAAGGAAGGAAAAAUCUAGAUCACCAAGACGUUAGGGCACCCUAUACUUGAAAUUGUAAGAUUCACUGCACCCUUUUGUAAGACUAAGGCAGUCUGCAGUGCAUUUGGCUUCAGCCUAAUAGGAUUUACCCGGUGUUCCUUUUCGAAGGAGAGAGGAGAAAAGGAGACUAAGGGAAAGGGAGAGGAAAUGAAAAGCUCUCAGAUGGACGGAAAGCUGAUUUCCUUUCUACACACCUCCUGUGGGUAUUGUCCUAUGAGUUUGUGGUUCAUGAGAUUUCAUUGGGAAAAUGAAAACUCCCAAGUCCAAAGGAUUAGUGAGCAGUUUUAGAUGUCUUACUUUUCACAUGGUAGGUGUUUUGUAAGUUACCUUGGUUGCAAGUAACAGAAAAAUCUGACCCAAAUGGCCCAGAAAAGUAAAUGUAUUGGUUCAUGAAAAGGAUUCCCCAAAAUGAGGUUGUACCAGGGCUGCGAAACUGUCACUUGGACCCAGUUUCUUCACCUUUCCACCCCUCCACUUUGCCACGUUGGUACUUGGUGGGCCUACUCUUACUUAGGCCCUUCUCUCCUGGUCCCCAAACAGCUGGAAGCUUUCUAGGUCUACCUGCUUCCUUUUUCAAUGCUUAACUCCAAAUCCCCUAAUUGAAUUUCAUUGGCCAGGUGCUUUUCCACAUGCUCAUUCUUGAACCAAUCAAUGUAAUUAGGAGGAAGUGGUUCAUUAAGACAAGAUCAUAAACCAAUGAGAGCCCCCUCCAGGGAUUUGGAGGUAGACCCAUUCCACCCAAACUCCAUGGUUGGGAAAUUCUAGGUCUAUGAGGAAAAGGAAGGUAGGAAACGGGUGUCAGAGGGACAACUAAUAACACUCCUUACUCUUGUCUUUCUAAACAUGUUUUGAGUUUUUGGAAUUACAUUUUAAAUACAUCUAGAGGCUAUAUAUUUUAAGAAAAUUUUGUUGUGUUCACUUCGAUUAUAUUAACAUUUUUUAGUACUGCUAAUAACCAUACCUUAAUGUAUCUUUUUGUAAACCUACACUAUCAGUUGAAAUAAAUACAGGUUCCCAGAAUGUCUGGAAUUCUAAAAUGGAGGAGAGCUGGGAAAUUAAUGUCACUGCGUUUUCUUGUUAUGCUAGCUUUGCUAUCAAACUCAGUCCUUUUACUCUACAGAAGGUGGGGCAAGAUUUAGUUAACUGCUUUUCAUUAGAAAGCAAACCAGGUCAAGGGUCAACAUGUAAAACUAUACAGCCGAUUCCUUCCUUUUCUGUCCACAGGGGGACUCACUGGCUGGCUUCUAAGGAGAGGAGCACGUGGUAGAUCCAAGGGGAUCCACCUGGCCGUUUUUCCAGCAGGGUGGGUGGAUGCCUCUGACAAGAUACUCAGGCCACCCUGGAGACCACAGUGGUGACCACGCAGCAAGAAGCCAUCCCCUUCAGACUGGGCACCUCUUCAUCUGCUUUUCCCCAAACUAUAUACCUGAUGGACAUACUAUGGGUUUAAGCAGGUGUUUGCAGGAGAGACAAAAACAGAGAAAACAAGGAGAUCUGGGAGACGGAAAAGGGAAAAGGAGAACACAGACUAUAUCUGCAGAUGGGGAACUGGAUGCCCAGAUACCAUAGGGACGGGUUCCUUCAUUUCCAAAACCAGACCAAAGAACAUCAGCUUUCUGGGUCCAGGAACAACCUUGGUUCCCUUGCUUUUCUGAAAAGAAGCCUUAAAAGUAUGUCGACCGUGGAGAAAGACAUCCUGUGAUUGUAUUGUGUCCACCGAAAAGUAAAAACCACAAGAUAAGGACCACGGAACUGAAGGAUGCUGUCCCACUCCCAGCCCCAACGCUUUGAAAAGUGCCUUUAUAAGCCUCGCACACUAUCCCUUCAGAGAUCGACAUUCCUUUUUCUUGAUGGCUCCUUUGUACACAAGCUAUCUCUAAUAAACUCCA